GCCGCGCUGGCGGGCGGGUUGGCUGCGGCGACGAUCCGUACGGCGGCGGGCAGUUCGAGGCUGCCGACCCGGCGC
rnacentral:tRNA from 1 species